CUUCAAUUGAAUAAGUUCUGACGGAGCACGCCGCGUGAGUGAUGAAGGCUUUCGGGUCGUAAAACUCUGUUGUUAGGGAAGAACAAGUACGAGAGUAACUGCUCGUACCUUGACGGUACCUAACCAGAAAGCCACGGCUAACUACGUGCCAGCAGCCGCGGUAAUACGUAGGUGGCAAGCGUUAUCCGGAAUUAUUGGGCGUAAAGCGCGCGCAGGCGGUUUCUUAAGUCUGAUGUGAAAGCCCACGGCUCAACCGUGGAGGGUCAUUGGAAACUGGGGAACUUGAGUGCAGAAGAGAAAAGCGGAAUUCCACGUGUAGCGGUGAAAUGCGUAGAGAUGUGGAGGAACACCAGUGGCGAAGGCGGCUUUUUGGUCUGUAACUGACGCUGAGGCGCGAAAGCGUGGGGAGCAAACAGGAUUAGAUACCCUGGUAGUCCACGCCGUAAACGAUGAGUGCUAAGUGUUAGAGGGUUUCCGCCCUUUAGUGCUGCAGCUAACGCAUUAAGCACUCCGCCUGGGGAG
rnacentral:rRNA from 2 species